UCCUGGUUUCCCAGGCAGUCCAACCAGAGUGCCCUACUCGCGUAAGUAGCAACUGAUUGCAGGGGUUGCGCUCGUUAGAGGACUUAACCAAACAUCUCACGACACGAGCUGACGGCAGCCAUGCAGCACCUGUGCAAGCGUCCAGGAAAACCUGAAAGACUGUGUUUCCACAGCGGUCACUUGCAUGUCAAGCCCAGGUAAGAUUCCUCGCGUAGUGUCGAAUUAAACCACAUGUUCCACCGCUUGUUCGGACCCCCGUCAAUUCCUUUAAGUUUUAAUCUUGCGACCGUACUCCCCAGGCGAAUCACUUAACGCGUUAGCUACGACACCAAUCCGGCAGAGCCAGACUAACGUCUAGUGAUCAUCGUUUACAGCGUGGACUAC
rnacentral:misc_RNA from 1 species